GUUGUAUUUAUGAAAUUUUUUUUCUAAUCAUUCUCAUAGAGAAUGGAGCAUCUAUUGUUGACCAUUCUGUUUUGGAAAAUUGGCACAAAUAAUCAUCCUAGAUUUUCCUAUGGAUGCUCCUGUCAUAAUGUGGCACCUAUGUUUCUUAUGUUGGUAUUUCAUAUUGUAAUGUCAUCUAGAACAAACUAUUGUACAAUAAACAUGCAUCUGUCAAAGUGUGGUGGUCUUUCUAGACAAACUAGUUAUAGCUCAGGGAGAUAGUAGCUUUAUUAAAACAACUAUUUUAGUAUGAUUUAGACCAGCAGUCUCAAACUCAUUCUCUUAAAAGGAUCUCACUUCAGACAUCUUUUAUGACGAUUUUAUAUGAGCUAAAUAAGCUGAAGUUGAUUAUGUUAA
rnacentral:lncRNA from 1 species